rnacentral:lncRNA from 1 species
CCCGCCUCGUGCUCUGCCUUCCUGUCCCAUUUCUCAGCCUCCUUCAGCGGCCUAACACUGACUCACAGGAGCCUCGGCCCGCCCUUGUCCCAGGUUCCUGAAGGUUACGAAAAAAAAAAAAAAAAAAACCACUCAACACAUUCCAACUAUUGAGAUUUUCAGGAUACACUAAUCUUAACAUCUCUGGGGCCAGGCCAAACAACACGGGCUUUGAUCUAACAGGGACCAUCAACUCACAGCUUCCAGCCCGCCUCCUCUCUAGAUCUAGGUUGUCAACCCUACCUGACCAGUACCCAACUUUGCAC